GAUCCGGCCUGAGCGGGUGAGACCCCCUGCCCUUAGCUUGGUACUUCCACUUCCAUCCGUAGUCUUUUUAAAGUGUGGUGCGCUGUAGCGAUAGCUCCAGUCGGACAGCGUUUACCCUCAAGUCUGCAGUAACGAGGUUGAAUAUGAGAAAGCUGUAGCCCAUGUAUGUACUUUUAAGCUUUUACUAUGGGCAGAUGUAAAAGUAACUCUACUUGGUUUGGAAACGGCUGUGAUGUGGUGCGAAAUAUUGCUCCAGGUGAUGAAUAAACAACUUAUGCAUGUGUAUUGGUUUAAAAGAGGCACAGGCUGCUGGAUGUCCUGUUCAAGGUGUGUCAAAAUGCCUGAAUUGGUCAAAAGAUAAUGCAAUAAUUGGUGCUUUCAAGAACAUGUAACUGCUGUUGAUUCAUCAUUUGUGGUGUCCUUUGGUUGGCUGGAGUCUCCAUUUGAUGAAGUUGCUCUCCACCACUCAUUCUGUUUUCCAUCUUACAGGUGUUGGAUGUAACUAUGCCUGAAGAGGGGCAUUUGCUUCAAGGGGUUGGAUUGUAAGGUGGAUUUUAGCUGUUGACAUACGACAACUUUAGUGCUGACAUUCAUACUUUUCGUAUAAGGAUUUAUUCAGCCGCUAAUGGAAUUAAUUAACAUUGGGGGUCAUCAUGAAUUGGGUACUGAUGUUGGGGCUAUGUGAACUCUUCUGUAGAGCAGUUCAAGAUCAUAACCAUGGACCAUUUGUUAGUUUAUCAAAACUUGGGGUACUUACCUGCCUAUAUAGUAGAACAUCGUAGUACUGUGGAAUAUCAUUGGAACUGUACAAUAUCUGAGUAUAUAUUUUGAAGUCAGAUGGGGUAAUUAUUUAAAAAAAGUCAAUUAUGUUUGUUGAUUUCUCUUCAAGCCUACGUAGUAUGGACCUUCAACAAUAGUGUUAAAAUUAGACCGUGUGUUUGGGUGGUGGAAAUGAGGCCUAUCACAAAUCAAGGAUGAAAUUACUUUGGAUUAUGGAAUGGAAAAUGCAAAACCGAGUCUACUAGAUUUAAGUUUACUGGGAGAUGGUUUUGAUUAGCGUUUUUAAUGGUUAUUUUCCGUAGCGGUUUGCAUAUCGUCAAUGGAGGAGCACACAGAUAUUAAAGUCGGGUUUUUUUUGCUUGCCAUCUGCUAUGAAGGUAUUUGUCACAUUGCAAAUUCAUAUUGAUGUAUAUGAAAGGUGUUAAAAGUUGACAUAGAUUACUGUUAAUUUGAGUUACUAAAUAUUCACUUGUAGAAGUUUGGAGGAACAGCUAACUUGGGGUGGGCCUCCAUUUUUUAUUUUUGCUAUGUGUACUUUGUAUUCCAUUUAAGAUUUAUCUAGAAAGCAACAUUAGUACAUGUAAGUAAGAAGGUUAAGUUAAAAUGUGGCAGUCCCAGUUCUUUUUUCUUUUUAAAUGCUCGUUGAAAUUUCUCGUGUUUAUUCAUGAUGUAGACAUUCAGAACAGCCAUGAAGAUGUGGUAAAUCUGUUGAACUUCUGGUGAUGUUGGAGUUAAAUAGGUAAUUUUUUUAUAUUAAAUAAAAGUUGAUGCUCUUCAGUGAAUUUUAGGCCAAUACUCAUAAGAAUAAUAUGGAUUAGAAAGUAAAGCACCAUCCUUUGUAUGUUGGGAAUUUUUUUAUCAGUUUUAUUUCCAAAUGUGGAGGAGGAUGACGUUUAUUAAAGUAAUUAUGUUUAUUCUAACGAAAAUAUUUAAUGGUUGAAACUAGGAAAAUGUGCUGAUUUAAGUUCGCGUGGAUAUUAGUGGAUAUACGCCAUCAUUACUUUUGUUGCCCGCACUGGAGCUUUUCCGUAACCAUGUCCAUUUGGUCAGCAGCCCAAGGCGAAGCUUGGUUUCUCAACUCAUUUAUCCCCUGCCCCUCCUCCAGUUCAGGCCAUUCGAAGGUUUGAUCCCGUUCGGACCAACAUAAAUUUUCAUCGCGAUUGGGGUUUAAAACUUACUGUUUUUAGUGGGAUAUGUAUAUUUCUAAACCAACUUUCUACUUCUAUAUUCCUUUUUCCAUUCUUUACUUUUUACUUUCUCGGUACAUGGUUCUUUACCCUUGCUCCUUUUGUAGGAACAGAGGUAGCUAUUCCUGCGAGAGAGUUUUUCAUAUUAUAAAUGGCUCUGUGUUAAAAUAUUUGACAAGUUAAAAGUCUGGGAUUUAAAUCCUUCAAAAUUCAAA